rnacentral:rRNA from 1 species
UGCCCUACGGGGGGCAGCAGUCGAGGAUCAUUCGCAAUGGGGGAAACCCUGACGAUGCGACGCUGCGUGGAGGAUGAAGGCCCUCGGGUCGUAAACUCCUGUCAUAUGGGGCAAGGGCGUGGGCGCUAACAGCGUCUUGCGCUUGAUGGUACCAUAAGAGGAAGCCACGGCUAACUCUGUGCCAGCAGCCGCGGUAAUACAGAGGUGGCGAGCGUGGUUCGGAUUUACUGGGCGUAAAGCGUGCGUAGGCGGUCGCGUAUGUCGGAUGUGAAAUCCCGGGGCUCACCCCCGGAAGUGCAUCCGAAACUGCGCGGCUCGAGGCCGGGAUGGGUGACUGGAACACAUGGUGUAGCGGUGAAAUGCGUUGAUAUCAUGUGGAACACCGGAGGCGAAGGCGAGUCACUGGAACGGAUCUGACGCUGAGGCACGAAAGCGUGGGGAGCAAACAGGAUUAGAUACCCCAGUAGUCCCA